GGAUAUGUGGGCCAUCGGAUUGUAACAUCUAUCAUCCUGAUGACCCUCAGGGUUGAUUCAGCUGAUCUAGCUGCCUAGGCAGGUACCCUGUUCCUCUCUCACUAGUCCAUGUUUCUCCCUCCUUAAGCUUCAUGCUUGGAUGACUGACGAUAAUGACUUUCCCUGAUAGAGAACAGGUAUAAAGCAGGGUAUAGACCAGCUGUGCUUCUCUGGUAGAACGUCCAAAUAAGUUCUCAAGAGGUAUCUAUUUCUAGGAAUUUUAUGGGAUUUACAGGGAUCCUUAAAAAUUCUAACACAUAAAAACCAAACUAUUGAAUUU
ensembl:misc_RNA 7SK 7SK RNA